GCUAAAUUGAUGACGGACACAGCGACUAUUGAGUGUGGCAUUCAGCGAACUGGUGAUUGGUGAAAGACCAGUGAAAGCCUUGAUAGCCUAUCAGUCCGGAAAGUUACCCUGAAUAGUAGGGGUAACCGGUUCAUUACCGUUAUUAAAUGCCUAAGGAAACAAUCCAUUUUGUUUCGAACUAGGGUGGUACCACGAAAAAAGCUUCGUCCCUGAU
rnacentral:ncRNA from 1 species